AUGUUCGUCAUGAUUCAGCUCUCCUGGAGUGAGUGGAGUGACCCGGUCAUCUUUCAGACCCAGUGAGAGGAGUUAAAGGAAGGCUGGAACCCUCACCUGCUGCUUCUCCUCCUGCUUGUCAUACUCUUCAUUCCUGCCUUCUGGAGCCUGAAGACCCACCCAAUGUGGAGGCUAUGGAAGAAGAUAUGGGCCGUCCCCAGCCCUGAGCAGUUCUUCGUGCCCCUGUACAAGGGCUGCAGCGGAGACUUCAAGAAGUGGGUGGGUGCUCCCUUCACUGGCUCCAGGCUGGAGUUGGGACCCUGGAGCCCAGAAGUGCCCUCAGCCCUGGAGGUGUAUAGCUGCCACCCACCACAGAGCCCGGCCAAGAGGCUGCAGCUCACGGAGCUACGGGAACCAGCAGAGCUGGUGGAGUCUGAUGGCGUGCCAGCCAGCUUCUGGGCGACAGCCCAGAACUCGGGAGGCUCAGCUUACAGUGAUGAGAGGGACCGGCCGUACGGCCUGGUGUCCAUCGAUACAGUGACUGUGCUAGAUGCAGAGGGGCCAUGCACCUGGCCCUGCAGCUGUGAGGAUGACGGCUACCCAGCCCUGGACCUGGACGCUGGCCUGGAGCCCAGCCCAGGCCUAGAGGAUCCACUCUUGGGCGCGGGAACCACAGUCCUCUCCUGCGGCUGUGUCUCAGCUGGCAGCCCUGGGCUAGGAGGGCCCCUGGGAAGCCUCCUGGACAGACUAAAGCCACCCCUUGCAGAUGGGGAGGACUGGGCUGGGGGACUGUCCUGGGGUGGCCGGUCGCCCGGAGGGGUCUCAGAGAGUGAGGCGGGCUCGCCCCCGGGCUGGCCUGGAUAUGGACACGUUUGACAAUGGCUUUGUGGGCUCUGACUGCAGCAGCCCUGUGGAGUGUGACUUCACCAGCCCCGGGGACGAAGGGCCUCCCCGGAGCUACCUCCGCCAGUGGGUGGUCAUUCCCCCACCACUUUCGAGCCCUGGACCCCAGGCCAGCUAGUGAGGCUGACCGGCUGUCCAGAGCUGGCCAGGCCACUGGGCCCUGAGCCAGAGACAAGGCCACUUGAGUUAUGAUGUGAAGACACCUGCAGCCUUUGGUCUCCUGGAUGGGCCUUUGAGCCUGAUGUUUACAGUGUGUGUGUGUGCGUGUGCGUGCACGUGCAUAUGCAUGUGUGUGUGUGCAUAUGCGUGUGUGUGUGCAUAUGCGUGCAUGAGUGUGUGUGUGUGUCUUAGGUGCGCAGUGGCAUGUCCACCUGUGUGUGUGAUUGCAUGUGCCUGUGGGCCUGGAAUAAUGCCCAUGGUACUCCAUACAUUCACCUGCCCUGUACAUGUCUGGGCCCACGGAGCUCACCCAUGUGCACGAGUGUGCACAGCAAACAUGUCUGUGGUCAACAGAUGACAACAGCCAUCUUCCCUUCUGGGGUCUUGUGUUGCAAGCUGGUCCACAGCACCUCCGGGGCUUUGUGGGAUCAGGGCAUAGUGUGAAAGAUGCUGAGUCCAGGCCUCCAGCUUCUGCCUCCAGGAGCUGCAAGAAGUCCAUGUUGUUCCUUAUCACCUGCCAGCAGGAAGGGAAAGGGGAUGGAGUGAGCCCACAUUGACCCCGGGAAUGGGAAGAUUUUGGGUGGCCCAUGGAUGAAGGUCUGAAUCCCGACUCUGAUACCUUCUGGCUGUGCUACCUGAGCCAAGUCGCCACCCCUCUCUGGUCUAGAGUUUCCUUGUCCGGACAAUGGGGAAAGCAUGACCCACCUGGGGGAAAUUGGCGAUGUCACCCGUGUACAGUACACAGCCCAGAGCAGACUCUCAGUAAACGUCAGCUUCCUUC